rnacentral:rRNA from 1 species
AGGGAAACUUGGAUUAAUGCCCCGUAGUACCUUUAUAUAGCAUUAUAUUUUGGUUAAAGGCUUCGGCCGGUAGAAGAUGGCCAUGCGUCCCAUUAGUUAGUUGGCGGGGUAACGGCCCACCAAGACGGCGAUGGGUAGGGGCCCUGAGAGGGGGAUCCCCCACACUGGUACUGAGACACGGACCAGACUCCUACGGGAGGCAGCAGUGAGGAAUAUUGGACAAUGGAGGAGACUCUGAUCCAGCCAUGCCGCGUGCAGGAAGAAUGCCCUAUGGGUAGUAAACUGCUUUUAUACGGGAAGAAAAAGGGCUACGUGUAGCCUGUUGACGGUACCGUAAGAAUAAGGACCGGCUAACUCCGUGCCAGCAGCCGCGGUAAUACGGAGGGUCCGAGCGUUAUCCGGAAUUAUUGGGUUUAAAGGGUCCGUAGGCGGGCGUUUAAGUCAGUGGUGAAAGUCUGCAGCUCAACUGUAGAACUGCCUUUGAUACUGAACGUCUUGAGUUAUGGUGAAGUUGCCGGAAUAUGUAGUGUAGCGGUGAAAAUGCAUAGAUAUUACAUAGAACACCGAUUGCGAAGGCAGGUGACUAACCAUAUACUGACGCUGAUGGACGAAAGCGUGGGGA